CAGCCGCCACGGGAAUACGAAGGGUGCAAGCGUUACUCGGAAUUACUGGGCGUAAAGCGUGCGUAGGUGGUGGUUUAAGUCCGUUGUGAAAGCCCUGGGCUCAACCUGGGAAUUGCAGUGGAUACUGGGUCACUAGAGUGUGGUAGAGGAUAGUGGAAUUUCCGGUGUAGCAGUGAAAUGCGUAGAGAUCGGAAGGAACAUCUGUGGCGAAGGCGACUAUCUGGGCCAACACUGACACUGAGGCACGAAAGCGUGGGGAGCAAACAGGAUUAGAUACCCGCGUAGUCCCUGUCUCUUAUAU
rnacentral:rRNA from 1 species